CCUUCUUUUUUGUAUGGUUCUGAUUACUGAAUUUCAAAUUAACAUGAUAUUUUAAUGAAAACCCUAGCUUUGAAUUUAAGGUAACCUGUUGUGUUUUUUUUCUUAUAUGAAUUUACUAAAAAUUUACUAAUUAAGUUUUCUAGACGUGAUUAACUGUUCUGAUGACAUGUUCUAUGUUGAUGGUGAUUUGAGCUGAAAAUAACAUGAAUUUUGGUUAACCUCUUAGAACCCCGAAUUUUAGGAAUCGUUUGAUGUAUAUCAUGUAUAUAUCUUAUAGAGAUUCUAAAAAGAUUUGUAAUAUCGUUGCAAUAGGGUAUUAGGUUUAGGCAGAAUCAACGUUUUCUGGGUUCACCAAAUUCUAGGUUUUUUUUCCUUGCUGGAGUUGGUUGUUGAUAGCCUGAUACUGAAUAUGGUCUACUCAGUAUGAUUCUUUGUUGGUGAUUUUUCUCUGAAUAUGGUCUACCUGAAUUCCUAAAAUUAUUGAUUUUUUGUUUAUUGUGUUCAGGGUUCAACACUAAUUUUUAUUUAAUUUUUUAAUUGAGACGAGGGAAAUGAAGAUUGAAACAAUUGCAACUCGGAUGCUGAAAGUUGUUCGAUUCUUACGUUGGUUUCGGCCUUGAUGGAAGCAAUAGUGAUUCAGAUGCUGAGAGUUAGUUCGAUUCUUAGGUGGGUUUCGGCCUUGUCAAUGAGAUUAAAACAUACCCAUGAAGAAUCUGUACAAACGCUCCAUUAUAUACCCAGAUGCGUGAAAAAUCUGUCAAAUCCAUUAUAAUCCCAGGUCAGAGAAACUGCUCAGACCAACAAAUUGUGUUCAAUCAGUCUAUGUGAUUCAAACUCCAUGCUUAAUGAGAUAUAUAGAGGGUCAACAGUACCAGAAUCAUGUUUUAUAGAUAAUCCAACAACUUCAUGGCUUGAUGGCAUUAUAAUAUGGAUUCUCCAGAAGCUUUUGGUUGUUGUCGUAAGUUCACACCAUGGUGGCACUAACUUUUCUGUGGUACCAAUUUGGGAGGUUCGCAGCACCACGUAUUUGCUAAAGCUCGAGAAUCCAACAUCUCUAGAGGCAAAUAUAAGGAACUGAUGAUUCUGAAGCAUUAAAGAUCUGCAGAAGUGGUGUAACCAAUCCCAAUGGUCACCGACCUGGAGAUAUUUAUGUUACCAUCAAGGAACAUUGAAUCUGUCAUUUUGUGUACAUUAUAUAGGACUCCGAAGAAUUAUAUGCAAGGCAUCCAACUAUAAGAUAUUUUUUUUCCUUGGAAGGAAUGCAACGGUAAUCAUUGAUGCUUCGAUGUUAUACUUGGAAAAAUGAGGUCCUAAUGCAUAAGUUCAGUUCGUUCGAAGUUGCCGAGCCAAUUACAACACAAUGGUGGAAUGCAGCAUGGAUGCGGUUGUAGCAAACAAAGUCAGGGGAAAAAAACUAUUUUAAGCUGCACGUCCAUCAGAUGCCAUUAAUGUGGAAAAAAGAUGCUAGAUAAUGUGAUUUAGUGGUCGGUGCUUGCGAGUGGUGGGGGAGAUGUUUUAGUUCCGAUGUUUGGGAAAACAUUGUUUUAAGUGUAGCUGCACGUCCAUCAGAUGCCAUUAAUGUGGCAAAAAGAUGCCACAUAAUGUGAUUUAGUGGUCGGUGCUUGCGUGGUGGAUAUAUGGUAGUUUCGAUGUUUGGAUACAAUAUAUGCAUCUGCCAACAAAUGCUGAACCCAUCAUCAUGUCCGGAGGUGUUGCGUCUGUUUUCUUUGUUUGCUGGGUUUGGACUACAAAUGAAGAAACCUAGAACAAUUGUUUUUUCGUGAUAACAAUGAGGGUCCAGAUUAUUAACAUUGCUCGACUACAAGCUCUUUCAAGGGGAUUGAAUCAACUUUCAGGAGUUCUACACUUUGCUUUUUAAUAGGUGGAAGGAUGGCUAAUCGGGACUUUGUUUCCGAAGAUUACUGCUUACAUGUUAAUAAUUUGAAGGUUUGUACACUUCGAACUGCAUAUCAGAAUCCAAACUCAAAGGAAAUACUAGGCGGUGGCGGUGGCGGCGGAUCUUCUGAGCCUUGACAACGGGUAAGAGAUUCAGGAUGCACUCAGUGCAAAAGGGUUUGUACAAUGAGCGAGCAAAAUGUUAUAGUAAUGCAUCAAAACGGUGGACUUGAAACAGUGAUUUAAGUGACUUUUAACUUUUUGGGUGUAUGCAUUUUUUAUGGUGGCAGAAGAUUCUUAAGUAGCUCCCGGAUUUCCAAUCUCAUGGAAUAUAGGGCUAUAUUAAUAGCUAAAACAUUUUCGAACGUAGUUGAAAUUUCAAGUGUUGUCCUAGCCAUGAUUUUUUGUUUUUAUUUUUGUUGCACUACAUGUAUAGGUGGAAGAAUGUCUUGAUCGAAUAAACCAUGUUUUCAAGUUGAAAAGAGAUAAUUUGAUGAAAUAAAUCAAGGAAGAAAAUCUUUAGGCAAGGUAUAGUUGUAUUUCAUAUGCGGACAAUUCCAAAAAUGUUUGUUAUCUUA